rnacentral:rRNA from 1 species
GACGAACGCUGGCGGCGUGCUUAACACAUGCAAGUCGAACGAGUGGCGAACGGGUGAGUAAUACGUGAGUAACCUGCCCUCUUUUUGGGAUAAGCCUUUGAAACGGGGUCUAAUACCGAAUAAAGGGGGAUGGGCUCGCGGCCUUUCGGCUUGUUGGUGGGGUGAUGGCCUCCGAAGGCGGUGACGGGUAGCCGGCCUGAGAGGGUGACCUGCCACAUUGGGACUGAGAUACGGCCCUGAGUCCUACGGAAGGCAGCAGUGGGGGGUAUUGCACAAUGGGCGAAAGCCUGAUGCAGCGACGGCGCGUGGGGGUUGAAGGGUUUCGUGGUGUAUACCUCUUUCGCUAGCGAAGGGUAGGUGGAUAAGAAGCGCCGGCUAACUACGUGCCAGCAGCCGCGGUAAUAC